CGGCGCGGGCGCCACGGCGGCGGCGCUGUCGCUCAUGCACGCGCUGCCGCUGCACUACCUGCCCGCCGCGCCCGACCCGCGCCCCUGGGACCACGCGCCGCCCACGCAGCCGCAGGCGCACGCCGACAAACAGACAUGGAGCAAGUGGACCCACUAGAGAAGCCCUCGCCGGCGCCGGCCGCGGCCGCGCCACGAGACUGUCCCGCGAGGAUUAUAUAUAAUUGUAACCCUUGGAAACGGUGUAGAUAUUAGUGAGAAAGAAUUAUAUUAUACAGAUUAUCUAUAUACAUAAUAGAGAAAAUGUCCUAUCGAGAAGAGAAAUACUUAUACUGUACGAUCGACUGAAGUGAGCAUUAAACGAUUCAUUAUAAUGAAACACGUGAGGGGUCGGUUGUAGUUUUAUUUGUUACUGCCGCUCGCUGCCGGCCGCCGUUGUUAGACGAAUUAUAGUUGUUCUAGUGCGCGCCCUCGCGCUAGUGGUAGCUUGGAAUGUGAUUCCGUACGCGCCGUGUUUUGCGUUGCCUUGCGCGGCCCCAGCCGCCGACUAUUUACAUAUUUUACACUAUAUUAUGGCAUAAUACGAUAUUAAUUUGAUUGAAUGCGCUCGCAACCCGAGACGGAUUAUAAACGUGUAUUAAUAAAUUUGCUUGUACAUGAAGAUUAAAUAUCAUAUAUUGAUGCACUGUA